rnacentral:rRNA from 1 species
GACGAACGCUGGCGGCGUGCUUAACACAUGCAAGUCGAGCGGUAAGGGCCCUUUCGGGGGUACGACGAGCGGCGAACAGGUGAGUAACACGUGGGUGACCUGCCCUUAGCUCUGGGAUAAGCCUGGGAAACUGGGUCUAAUACCGGAUAUGACUCCAUGACGCAUGUUGUGGGGUGGAAAGCCUUGUGCGGCUAGGGAUGGGCCCGCGGCCUAUCAGCUUGUUGGUGGGGUG